rnacentral:lncRNA from 1 species
GCUGUCUGUCCCUCUUCCAACCACAAAAGCGUCCCCAAACCCCUCCAGGGUGGCCAUGAUUCCCACUCUCACCCCUGUCCCCAAUUAUCCCAUCCCUUUUGUUCAUUUCCUGGAAAACAUUAAUUAUCCAUUGAGAUGCACUAAAUUGUGGUUCUUUCUCACUAGACUGUGGGUCCCCGCAGACAGGGUUUUUGUCCCUGCGGAGCCCCGUGGUGGUCUCCCGGGCUCGGGCCUCCCAGAGGUCCCCAAAUACGGUCUACGUGGCAGCCGGGGAGGUAGAGAGGAUGUCUCUGGGGCGCCUCAGGGACUUUCCCUGUCCCGCUGGGAAAGCGUGAUCUCACCCGGUUCCUCCCUCCUCGCCGGACGCGGAAGGGGCGGGCGGAGGCCGUGCGCCUGGGGCUACAGGCGCGCCCUCCGCGCCCUGCCAUCCGCGGGCAUCGCCACCAGGCCAUCAGGCCACCAACAUCCGCCCCGAGGACCCGAGCAGUGCGGCCGGUCGCCCCCGCGACCCCAGCUAUUUCAGAUUGACUUCUCACACUGUUGCUGGUGUAGUCGGGAGUUGGUCAGUUCUACAGCCCCCAGGGGUCCUGGUGCCCGUGAGCAGGGUGGAGACACCGGGCCUGCAGCGCAGCGGGGCGGCGUGCGGAACAUGACUUCAUCAUCCAGUGUUUCUCCCGCAGCCGCUGGA